rnacentral:rRNA from 1 species
UACAGAGGGGGCAAGCGUUGUUCGGAAUUACUGGGCGUAAAGCGCGUGUAGGCGGCCUUUCAAGUCCUGUGUGAAAUCCCAUGGCUCAACCAUGGAAGUGCACCCGAAACUGCAUAGCUAGAGUCCUGGAGAGGAAGGUGGAAUGCUUGGUGUAGAGGUGAAAUUCGUAGAUAUCAAGCGGAACACCGGUGGCGAAGGCGGCCUUCUGGGAAGAUACUGACGCUGAGGUGCGAAAGCGUGGGGAGCAAACAGG